UGGAAACUGGCAACUCACAUCCACUAUGCCAGUAAAAAGGACCUGAAUGUCAAAUAGGCUGUGUCCUGCACUUUGGAAUAUUGCCUCCCUGCAGAGCACUGUGGAGGAAGGCACAUGGAGCUCCAUGUAGAAGCACGUUCGGGACACAGCAGCAGAAAUUUGAAAUAAAUGGACCACUAGAGGGCAUCUGCUCGUUCUCACAGCUGGAAUGGAAUCUUGUUCACCCCUGCAGAAUGUCAGCCCAGUAUUUACAGUUAAAGGUCAGGACUCCACUAUACCAGCAGACUGGCAGAUUCCCAACAGAAAGAACUCCCCACCUGGAGAACCUGCGAUCUGAAAGUCAGACAAGAAUCUCUGAACUGAGACACAGGUCUGUACAACAGCCAGAAACAAUGGGGUGCUUCUGCUUGGUGCUCCCUCAACAGACCUAAUGAAGAAGUAUAGAUUGGGAAUCUUAUUGUUGCUUUUUGAUGUAGUUUUGUGGAAAUGCAUCUCAGCAAAGCCCGGAGUUAAGAAUGAUAAGGGUGAGUGAAGGGAAUUAAUUAACCUGGUCGCACUUGUGUGGGAUGCAAGGGUGGAAUCUCAGUGAUGAAAA
rnacentral:lncRNA from 1 species